UGGGGAAUUUUGCACAAUGGGGGAAACCCUGAUGCAGCGACGCCGCGUGAUUUAGAAGGCCUUCGGGUUGUAAAAAUCUUUUUUAUGGGAUGAAAAUGACAGUACCAUAAGAAUAAGGUCCGGCUAAAUACGUGCCAGCAGCCGCGGUAAUACGUAUGGACCGAGCGUUGUCCGGAAUCAUUGGGCGUAAAGGGUACGUAGGCGGCCCAGUAAGUUAGAAGUGAAAUCCUAUAGCUCAACUAUAGUAAGCUUUUAAAACUGCUCAUCUUGAGGUAUGGAAGGGAAAGUGGAAUUCCUAGUGUAGCGGUGAAAUGCGCAGAUAUUAGGAGGUAUACCGGUGGCGAAGGCGACUUUCUGGCCAUAUACUGACGCUGAGGUACGAAAGCGUGGGUAGCAAACAGG
rnacentral:rRNA from 1 species